GCUUCUUCAGCCCAGGUCACUUGUUCCUGUUCCUUUUUGUCAGUAAGACCAAAGUUUUCACCUUUCGGCCAGUUGGUAAUUAUUUUCAAAAUCUCAGGGUGAUUUGGGUUUCCAAUACGGGCGCGUUGUGUGAUGAGGGCAAUUUAUUUGCUUCAUGUGGCGUCAGUGGCAUGGUGGGUAGAAGGAACCUUUGCUUUGAACAUCCACCCCAGCACUGGCAGUCAGGGUGCCAGGAGGAGUUGUGUUUCUGUGCCAAUCACCUCUGAGGCAGCUUGAACUCCUUCAUAGGCAGCCAAGAUCUCCUUCUCUGUUGGAGUGUAGUUGGCCUUAGACCCUUUAACUUCAGCUCCAG